GAAAGCCGACAAAACACGAGUCUGUCUAGUCUCUGCUAAAUUUAGCAGAGACUAGACAGACUCGUGUUUUGUCGGCUUUCAGU
rnacentral:pre_miRNA from 1 species